GAUGAACGCUGGCGGCGUGCCUAAUACAUGCAAGUCGAGCGAACAGACGAGGAGCUUGCUCCUCUGACGUUAGCGGCGGACGGGUGAGUAACACGUGGAUAACCUACCUAUAAGACUGGGAUAACUUCGGGAAACCGGAGCUAAUACCGGAUAAUAUAUUGAACCGCAUGGUUCAAUAGUGAAAGACGGUUUUGCUGUCACUUAUAGAUGGAUCCGCGCCGCAUUAGCUAGUUGGUAAGGUAACGGCUUACCAAGGCGACGAUGCGUAGCCGACCUGAGAGGGUGGUCGGCCACACUGGAACUGAGCCACGGUCCAGACUCCUACGGGAGGCAGCAGUAGGGAAUCUUCCGCAAUGGGCGAAAGCCUGACGGAGCAACGCCGCGUGAGUGAUGAAGGUCUUCGGAUCGUAAAACUCUGUUAUUAGGGAAGAACAAAUGUGUAAGUAACUAUGCACGUCUUGACGGUACCUAAUCAGAAAGCCACGGCUAACUACGUG
rnacentral:rRNA from 1 species